GGAUGCGUCCUUGUGUGACGGUACCGAAUGAAUAAGCACCGGCUAACUCCGUGCCAGCAGCCGCGGUAAUACGGAGGGUGCGAGCGUUGUCCGGAUUUAUUGGGUUUAAAGGGUGCGUAGGUGGCUUUAUAAGUCAGUGGUGAAAUACAGCCGCUCAACGGUUGAGGUGCCAUUGAUACUGUAGAGCUUGAAACAAUUGGAGGCUGCCGGAAUGGAUGGUGUAGCGGUGAAAUGCAUAGAUAUCAUCCAGAACACCGAUUGCGAAGGCAGGUGGCUACGUUUGAUUUGACACUGAGGCACGAAAGCAUGGGGAGCAAACAGGAUUAGAUACCCUGGUAGUCCAUGCUGUAAACGAUGAGGACUCGCUGUUGGGCUGUCACGGUCCAGCGGCUUAGGGAAACCGUUAAGUCCUCCACCUGGGGAGUACGCCGGCAACGGUGAAACU
rnacentral:rRNA from 1 species